CCGCGGCCGCCUAUGCUCCGCCCCGCCACGCGUGCGCUUAGGCGCCGCUGAGCGCCGACUGGGUGCGAGCGGGGAAGCCGCUAACCUGACCCGGAUUGGCGCUGAGGUGGCCCGUGGGGCAGGGCAGAUGAUUCUAGACCAGAUGAAGCCUGAGGCACCUUCCAGCUCUAAGAUAGCAGGAUAGGAGACUUCCGAGCCUGGAGCUACAGAAGACUUGCCAGCCCCACAGCACAAUGUCAGGAAGCCAUACACCUUCUGCCUGUGGCCCUUUCUCAGCCCUGACUCCGAGCAUAUGGCCCCAGGAGAUCCUGGCCAAGUAUACACAGAAGGAAGAGUCAGCAGAGCAACCAGAUUUCUACUACGAUGAGUUUGGUUUCCGUGUGUACAAGGAAGAAGGUGGUGAGCCUGGCUCUAGUCUGCUGGCGAGCUCCCCGCUGCUGGAGGAUGCUCCACAGAGGCUGCGGUGGCAGGCCCACCUGGAGUUCACCCAUAACCACGAUGUGGGGGAUCUCACCUGGGACAAGAUUGCAGUCUGUCUGCCCCGCUCUGAGAAGCUCCGUUCCCUGGUGCUGGCCGGCAUCCCACAUGGCAUGAGGCCACAGCUAUGGAUGCGGCUCUCUGGGGCCCUGCAGAAGAAGAGGAACUCCGAGCUGUCCUACCGUGAGAUUGUGAAGAACAGCUCCAAUGAUGAGACCCUUGCUGCCAAGCAGGGUGUCACAAGGUCUUGUUGUUGUGGGUGCCAAUGGCUGCCGGACAGAUUGAGAAGGACCUGCUGCGCACCAUGCCCAGCAACGCCUGCUUCGCCAGCAUGGGCAGCAUCGGGGUGCCCCGCCUGCGCAGGGUGCUCCGGGCCCUGGCCUGGCUCUACCCAGAGAUCGGCUACUGCCAGGGCACUGGUGGCUGCCUGCCUCCUGCUGUUCCUGGAGGAGGAGGACACCUUCUGGAUGAUGUGCGCCAUCAUCGAGGACCUGCUCCCCGCCUCCUACUUCAGCACCACCCUGCUGGGCGUCCAGACUGACCAGCGGGUCCUGCGCCACCUCAUUGUCCAGUACCUGCCUCGCCUGGACAAGCUGCUCCAGGAGCAUGACAUCGAGCUGUCCCUGAUCACACUGCACUGGUUCCUCACGGCCUUCGCCAGCGUGGUGGACAUCAAGCUGCUUCUGCGCAUCUGGGACCUGUUUUUCUAUGAGGGCUCCCGGGUGCUGUUCCAGCUCACGCUGGGCAUGCUGCACCUCAAGGAAGAAGAGCUGAUCCAGUCAGAGAACUCAGCCUCCAUCUUCAACACGCUAUCGGAUAUCCCGUCGCAGAUGGAGGACGCGGAGCUGCUUCUGGGGGUGGCCAUGCGGCUGGCCGGCUCCCUCACCGACGUGGCUGUGGAGACUCAGCGCCGCAAGCACCUGGCCUAUCUCAUUGCAGACCAGGGUCAGCUCCUGGGGACCGGCACCCUCACCAACCUCUCUCAGGUUGUUCGCCGCAGGACCCAGCGGAGGAAGUCCACCAUCACUGCUCUGCUCUUCGGUGAGAGCUCUGCGGGUGCCAGGCAGUGUGGGCAUGGAACAGUCUGUCCUCACGCUCACGUGGAUGUGGAGCUUCCUCGGGGGCCUGGAGUGAGCCGUGGUCACCAUUGCUCUCUGGGCCUCCUAGGGGAGGAUGACCUGGAGGCACUCAAGGCCAAGAACAUCAAGCAGACGGAACUGGUGGCUGACCUCCGGGAAGCCAUCCUGCGCGUGGCGCGUCACUUCCAGUGCGCAGACCCCAAAAACUGCAGCGUGGAGCUGACUCCAGACUACAGCAUGGAGAGCCACCAGCGGGACCACGAGAACUACGUGGCAUGUUCACGCGGCCACCGGCGCCGAGCCAAGGCCCUGCUGGACUUCGAGCGGCACGACGACGACGAGCUGGGCUUCCGCAAGAACGACAUCAUCACAAUCGUGUCUCAGAAGGACGAGCACUGCUGGGUGGGGGAGCUCAACGGCCUUCGAGGCUGGUUUCCAGCCAAGUUUGUGGAAGUCCUGGAUGAGCGCAGCAAAGAGUAUUCCAUCGCGGGGGACGACUCAGUGACGGAGGGGGUCACAGACCUCGUGCGAGGGACCCUCUGCCCGGCCCUUAAGGCCCUGUUCGAACAUGGACUGAAGAAGCCAUCCCUGCUUGGGGGCGCCUGCCACCCCUGGCUGUUUAUAGAGGAGGCUGCAGGCCGGGAGGUCGAGAGAGAUUUUGCCUCCGUGUAUUCCCGCCUGGUGCUCUGUAAGACCUUCAGGAGCUUUGGUGCCCCCUCAGGUUGGACGAAGAUGGCAAGGUCCUGACCCCGGAGGAGCUGCUCUACCGGGCUGUGCAGUCUGUGAACGUGAGCCAUGAUGCAGUGCACGCACAAAUGGACGUGAAGCUCCGCUCACUGAUCUGCGUGGGGCUCAAUGAGCAGGUGCUGCACCUGUGGCUGGAGGUGCUCUGCUCCAGCCUGCCCACCGUGGAGAAGUGGUACCAGCCCUGGUCCUUCCUGCGCAGCCCGGGCUGGGUCCAGAUCAAGUGUGAGCUCCGAGUCCUCUGCUGCUUUGCCUUCAGCCUCUCCCAGGACUGGGAACUCCCUGCGAAGAGAGAGGCGCAGCAGCCCCUGAAGGAGGGCGUCCGGGACAUGCUGGUGAAGCAUCAUCUCUUCAGCUGGGAUGUGGAUGGGUGACCCCUCCUCCCCAGCCCAGCCUUGGGCCUGGGUCUCAGGUGGCCCAGGACCCCAAGCUGCAGAGCCCAGGGAAGAGCAGCUCCAGAGCCCUGGCCGGGGCCCCGGGAUAUCAGGCUGCCCCACUCCAGGUUCCCCAGCACAUCCCAGGUGGUGGCAGCAGAGGGUGCCCUGCCCUACCAGGGUCCUUAGAGAUGCUCUGGGCCAAACCAGUUUGUACCAAAAGCCUUGUGAGGCGGUGGGGAGCCACGUCUGUGCCAGUCUUUGCUCAGGAAGAGGGAAGGGGAUGGGGGUGACUAAUAGGCUCCUGUCCUCCUUGGUUUAUAAAUAAACUGUCUUUGAGAACGUA